rnacentral:rRNA from 1 species
AAUCAACGCUGGCGGCGUGCCUAACACAUGCAAGUCGAACGCGAAAGGGGGCUUCGGCUCCUAAGUAGAGUGGCGUCCGGGUGAGUAACACGUAGGUAAUCUGCCUUCGGUGGGAUAACCAGUCGAAGAUUGGCGUAUACCGCAUAAUGCCAGCGGCACCUAAUGGGUGGAGUUAGUUGUUAAAGCGGGGGAGUCGUAAGACCUCGCGCCUGAAGAGGAGCCUGCGGCAGAUUAGCUAGUUGGUGAGGUAAUGGCUCACCAAGGCUUCGAUCUGUAGCUGGUCUGAGAGGACGGCCAGCCACACUGGCACUGACACACGGGCCAGACUCCUACGGGAGGCAGCAGUGGGGAAUUUUGGGCAAUGGGCGAAAGCCUGACCCAGCAACGCCGCGUGAGGGAGGAAAUCCUUCGGAUGUAAA